AUACUUGUCAUCAAAAUGGAUAAAAAGAUAUGUAUCUAAAACUAAAAUACGUCUAGAUACAUUUCCUUUUAUCCAUUUUGAUGACAAGUAUUUCCGGAUGGAGGGAGUAUUUG
rnacentral:pre_miRNA from 1 species